rnacentral:rRNA from 1 species
CCUAAGGUAGCGAAAUUCCUUGUCGGGUAAGUUCCGACCCGCACGAAAGGCGUAACGAUUUGGGCACUGUCUCAACAACAGACUCGGUGAAAUUGUAAUACCGGUGAAGAUGCCGGUUACCUGCGACAGGACGGAAAGACCCCAUGGAGCUUUACUGUAGCUUGACAUUGAGUCUCGGUGCUACAUGUACAGGAUAGGUGGGAGACUAUGAAGCAUGGACGUCAGUCUGUGUGGAGUCAUCCUUGGGAUACCACCCUUGUAGUACUGGGAUUCUAACCAGAGGCCAUGAAUCUGGUCUUGGGACACUGUCAGGUGGACAGUUUGACUGGGGCGGUCGCCUCCCAAAAAGUAACGGAGGCGCUCAAAGGUUCUCUCAGUACGGUCGGAAAUCGUACGAAGAGUGUAAAGGCAAAAGAGAGCUUGAUUGCAAGACAUACAGGUCGAGCAAGGACGAAAGUCGGACUUAGUGAUCCGGUGGUUCCGCAUGGAAGGGCCAUCGCUCAACGGAUAAAAGCUACCCUGGGGAUAACAGGCUGAUCUCCCCCAAGAGUCCACAUCGACGGGGAGGUUUGGCACCUCGAUGUCGGCUCAUCACAUCCUGGGGCUGUAGUAGGUCCCAAGGGUUGGGCUGUUCGCCCAUUAAAGUGGUACGCGAGCUGGGUUCAGAACGUCGUGAGACAGUUCGGUCCCUAUCCGUCGCAGGCGUAGGAAAUUUGAGGAGACCUGUCCUUAGUACGAGAGGACCGGGAUGGACGUACCGCUGGUGUACCAGUUGUUCUGCCAAGGGCAUGGCUGGGUAGCUAAGUACGGAAAGGAUAAGCGCUGAAAGCAUCUAAGCGCGAAGCCCACUUCAAGAUAAGAUUUCCCACCGCAAGGUUAAGAUCCCAGGAAGACUACCUGGUUGAUAGGUCAGAGGUGUAAGUGUAGUAAUAUAUUUAGCUUACUGAUACUAAUAGAUCGAGGACUUGACCAA